UCGGAUAUGGUGUACGGUACACGGCCUCUUUGCUUGGGUUGGAAACCGAGAGUAGCAGAGGCAGAUCGGGGUUCGACUCCCUGUGUCCGAA